rnacentral:tRNA from 1 species
AUUUAAAUAGUUUAAUUGAAAAUUCUGGCUUGUGGUGCCAGGGAUAUAUGUAUUAUUUUAAGUA